GACGAACGCUGGCGGCGUGCUUAACACAUGCAAGUCGAACGGACAGACAGAGAGCUUGCUCUCUUGAAGUUAGUGGCGAACGGGUGAGUAACGCGUAAUCAACCUGCCCUUCAGAGGGGGAUAACGACGGGAAACCGUUGCUAAUACCGCGUACGAUUCAUGAACGGCAUCGUUUAUGAAUGAAAGGUGGCCUCUAUGUAUAAGCUAUCGCUGAAGGAGGGGAUUGCGUCUGAUUAGCUAGUUGGAGGGGUAACGGCCCACCAAGGCAAUGAGCAGUAGCCGGUCUGAGAGGAUGAACGGCCACAUUGGGACUGAGACACGGCCCAAACUCCUACGGGAGGCAGCAGUGGGGAAUCUUCCGCAAUGGACGAAAGUCUGACGGAGCAACGCCGCGCGAGUGAUGAAGGUCUUCGGAUUGUAAAGCUCUGUUAAUCGGGACGAAAGAGUUCUGCGUGAAUAAUGCAGAAAAGUGACGGUACCGGAAUAGAAAGCCACGGCUAACUACGUGCCAGCCGCCGCCGUAA
rnacentral:rRNA from 1 species